AUUUAUAUAGUUUAUAAUAAAACAUUACAUUUUCACCGUAAAAAUAAAAUUUAAAUUUUUGUAAAUA
rnacentral:tRNA from 1 species